AAUGCCACACACACACCAAGUAAGUACAUCAAGUGAGAAUCUUGCAAGCUAGCUCUUGCCUGGUAAUUUUUAAGGUCUUGGGACUUCUCCCCAUAAAAUCUUACCAUGGAAAAGGAUGUCAGCUCAUCACACAAGAGAUACAUGAAGGGGGUCCAGCUAUCAAAAAUAGCACCUGGCGUCCAGAGAGUCCUCACAGAAACAUCUGAUCUUUACAGAAGUAAAAGUGUCAGUGGCCUCCCACUGAAGUCUGAGCUCACCAGCCUGAUUGAGAAGACCCUGCAAGAAGUUGAAGCUGGGAAUUCAGAAGAGAGGACAAAAAGUGAAGUAGAGGACUGCCAGGUGGAGCUGAAUAAGAAAGGGGAUGAUGACAAAGAGGAAGAUAAGGAUGGAGACUGUGGUCAAGAAGAAUACGGCAUUAGAGUAGGCACGGCUGAGCAAUUGGAAGCACAGACAGAAAAUUUAAAAGUGGAAGAAGUUCUCCUGGAGGUACAGAAAGACCUGUCUACUUUUGUGGAAAUUGACCUAAGAGACGAAGUUGAUGAGAUAACUGAACACUUCUUGACAGAGGAGAAACAAUCGGAAGAAGAGGAAGAACCAGCUGAACUCAAGCUCCAAAGCAACUGGCUGUGCUGCUUUCCAACCUGGAGAAGCAGAAGAAGAAAAAGAUAAAAAUAGGAUAGCUAUGAAAAGACACUGACCAUUCAAGGCUACCUUAUGCUGUCAAGAUCCUGCCUGCAACACUGGGUUUGAUGUCACUAGGGAUUCUCCUUUGAUAAGCACUCUGCUUUUCACACACUACAGGCAGAGCAGCCAGCCCUGUGGCAGGGGUCUGGGAGCACAAGGAACCUUCUAAAGAGGAGUCUCCAGCCUUUGUGUACAAGGGCCAACAUAAACCAAUCUGGAAGGGCCAGUAGAGAAACAAGCACUCAUUAAACUCAGAAAAAAAGCAGAAUUAGACUGGUUUGUUCCUACGCUUGUGACACCUCAGUAAGAAGCCUGCUAUUGCAUUUAUUACACAAUGGUAGGUGCAGAGUGAAAAGGGACAGGAGGACCCAGGGCAGAGGAGCACUAGUGACCAUCUCUGCAAAGAUUUAUUUAGGAAGUUUAGCGUGGGGAAGUAAAGGUCCAGAAGAAUGCAUUUCAGCUGUACUCCUAACCCUGAGACUCGGAUGCCUAGCUGGGUAAUGAAGUGGAUUUUAAUGU